rnacentral:rRNA from 1 species
UGGGGAAUAUUGCACAAUGGGGGAAACCCGUAGCAUGCAGCGACGCCGCGUGAAGGAUGAAGUAUUUCGGUAUGUAAACUUCUAUCAGCAGGGAAGAAAAUGACGGUACCUGACUAAGAAGCCCCGGCUAACUACGUGCCAGCAGCCGCGGUAAUACGUAGGGGGCAAGCGUUAUCCGGAUUUACUGGGUGUAAAGGGCGCGUAGGCGGGGAUGCAAGUCAGAUGUGAAAGGCAGGGGCUCAACCCCUGGACUGCAUUGGAAACUGUUGGUCUUGAGUACCGGAGGGGUAAGCGGAAUUCCUAGUGUAGCGGUGAAAUGCGUAGAUAUUAGGAGGAACACCAGUGGCGAAGGCGGCUUACUGGACGGUAACCGACGUUGAGGCUCGAAAGCGUGGGGAGCAAACAGGAUUAGAUACCC